rnacentral:rRNA from 1 species
AGUCUGGUGCCAGCAGCCGCGGUAAUUCCAGCUCCAAUAGUGUAUAUUAAAGUUGCUGCGGUUAAAAAGCUCGUAGUUGGAUUUCGGUAGUGUCCUGGCAAAGCUCGUCGCAAGGCGUGGCUCGUCGGGCGCUUCCUACUUUUAGGUAAUGGCCCUCAUGCUUUACGGCUUGGGGAUCACCGUUCCUAAUCAUUUACUUUGAAAAAAUUAGAGUGUUCAAAGCAGGCGUAACCUUGCCAUUGAAUAUUACAGCAUGGGAUAAUAGAAUAUGACAUUGGUCUUAUUUUGUUGGUUUCUAAGGCUGAUGUAAUGAUUAAUAGGGAUAGUUGGGGUCGCUCGUAUUGAGUUGUCAGAGGUGAAAUUCUAGGAUUUACUCAAGACGAACUAAUGCGAAAGCAUUCGACAAGGAUGUUUUCAUUAAUCAAGAACGAAAGUUGGGGGAUCGAAGAUGAUCAGAUACCGUCGUAGUCUCAACCAUAAACUAUGUGGACCAAGGAUCCGAGGACGUUACAUGGAUGACUCUCCGGGCACUUUGUGAGAAAUCAUAAGUAUUUGCAUUCCGGGGGGAGUAUGGUCGCAAGGCUGAAACUUAAAGGAAUUGACGGAAGGGCACCACCAGGAGUGGAACCUGCGGCUUAAUUUGACCCAACACGGGGAAACUUACCAGGUCCGGACACUAUGAGGAUUGACAGAUUAAGAGCUCUUUCUUGAUUUAGUGGGUGGUGGUGCAUGGCCGUUUUUAGUUGGUGGAGUGAUUUGUCUGGUUAAUUCCGUUAACGAACGAGACCUUAACCUAUUAAUUAGUUACGCAAACUUUGGGGGCAACCUCAAUCGGUUUGUGGCUGAACUUCUUAGAGGGACUCUCGGCAUAUCUAGCCGAUGGAAGUUUGAGGCAAAAACAGGUCUGUGAUGCCCUUAGAUGCCCUGGGCUGCACGCGCGUUACACUGACGAUCGCAACGAGUGGUCUCCUUGUCCGAUGGGACUGGGUAAGCUUUGAAAAGAUCGUCGUGAUGGGGAUUGAACCUUGCAAUUAUUGUUCAUGAACGAGGAAUUCCUAGUAAGCGUGGUUCAUCAGACCACGCUGAUUACGUCCCUGCCCUUUGUACACACCGCCCGUCGCUCCUACCGAUUGAAUGGUCCGGUGAGAACUCAGGAUAGCAUUAUUGCAGUUGCUCGCAAGGGUAAACGGAUAAAGUUAGAAUUUGUUCAAACCUUACCAUUUAGA